rnacentral:misc_RNA from 1 species
UGGGAUGCCAAAUGAUGAGUUUGAGAAAACCUCAAAGAAUGAGGAAAUCAAAUUUGUGAUUCAACAAAUUUAUAAAUUGGUAAAAUAGAAAAGCAAGCUCUUCAAUCUUCAUAAUUUCAUACUCCCAUAGCACUUAUGAAUUCUAUAUGAUAAAUGUUGAAUAACUAUGAGUGGCCCUGGAAGAUACCCUGAAAUCUAACUUGUUGAGCAAAACUCUCUCUCGCCUAUCAUUGGCCCUGAGGGUUAUGGCACAGUUGCAAUUACUAGCCCUCCAACAAAUGAAGGUCACAGAAUUCAAGUGCUCGGUAGGUCAUUGGUUAAUGAAAGUUAAUUAAACAAAAGAAGAAGAAAAUGGAAAAUGAGCUCUUCAUAACUUCUUACUCCCACAGCAAUUUUUGAGUCUACAUAAUAUAUGUUGAAUAACCAUGACCAUGGCCCUGGAAAAUACCCAGAAAUCCAACUUAUUGAGCAAAACUCUCUCCCACCUAUCAUCGGCCUUGUGGGCUGUGCCAAGGAAGCACAAAGGAAUUGAGAAAAACUCUCUCACACCUACCAUUGGCCUUGUGGGCUGUGCCAAGGAAGCACAAAGGAAUUGAGAAAAACUCUCUCACACCUACCAUU